rnacentral:rRNA from 1 species
UAGAGUUUGAUCAUGGCUCAGGACGAACGCUGGCGGCGUGCCUAAUACAUGCAAGUAGAACGCAUCUUGAAUGACCGAUUCUUCGGAUGAAGGGAUUUCGCUGGAUGAGUUGCGAACGGGUGAGUAACACGUGGGAAACCUACCUCUUAGCGGGGGAUAACACAUAGAAAUGUGUGCUAAUACCGCAUAAUUCUUUUUAUCGCAUGAUAGAAAGCUGAAAGGCGCAAUUGCGUCACUAGGAGAUGGUCCCGCGGUGCAUUAGCUAGUUGGUGAGGUAACGGCUCACCAAGGCUGCGAUGCAUAGCCGACCUGAGAGGGUGAUCGGCCACAUUGGGACUGAGACACGGCCCAAACUCCUACGGGAGGCAGCAGUAGGGAAUCUUCGGCAAUGGACGCAAGUCUGACCGAGCAACGCCGCGUGAGUGAUGAAGGUUUUCGGAUCGUAAAACUCUGUUGAUAGAGAAGAACAAGAGGAAGAGUGGAAAGCUUCCUCCUUGACGGUAUCUAUCCAGAAAGCCACGGCUAACUACGUGCCAGCAGCCGCGGUAAUACGUAGGUGGCAAGCGUUGUCCGGAUUUAUUGGGCGUAAAGCGAGCGCAGGCGGUUUCUUAAGUUGGAUGUUAAAGGCAUUGGCUCAACCAAUGUACGCAUCCAAAACUGGGAGACUUGAGUGCAGGAGAGGAGAGUGGAAUUCCAUGUGUAGCGGUGAAAUG